rnacentral:rRNA from 1 species
ACCUGCGGAGGGAUCAUUACACAACAAAAUAUGAAGGCCUGGCUUUCGCGGCCGGCUGAAGUAUUUUUUUCACCCAUGUCUUUUGCGCACUUGUUGUUUCCUGGGCGGGUUCGCCCGCCACCAGGACCAAACCAUAAACCUUUUUUUCUUAUGCAGUUUCCAUCAGCGUCAGUAAAAACAAUGUAAUUAUUACAACUUUCAACAACGGAUCUCUUGGUUCUGGCAUCGAUGAAGAACGCAGCGAAAUGCGAUACGUAGUGUGAAUUGCAGAAUUCAGUGAAUCAUCGAAUCUUUGAACGCACAUUGCGCCCUUUGGUAUUCCAAAGGGCAUGCCUGUUCGAGCGUCAUUUGUACCUUCAAGCUUUGCUUGGUGUUGGGCGUUUUUUUGUCUCCCUCUUUCUGGGAGACUCGCCUUAAAACGAUUGGCAGCCGGCCUACUGGUUUCGGAGCGCAGCACAUUUUUUGCGCUUUGUAUCAGGAGAAAAGGACGGUACUCCAUCAAGACUCUACAUUUUUCACUUUUGACCUCGGAUCAGGUAGGGAUACCCGCUGAACUUAA